UACGAAGGGGGCAAGCGUUACUCGGAAUUACUAGGCGUAAAGGGCAGGUAGGUGGUUUGGUAAGUCUGUUGUGAAAGCUCCCGGCUUAACUGGGAGAGGUCAACAGAAACUACCAGGCUUGAGUAUAGGAGAGGGUACUGGAAUUCCCGGUGUAGCGGUGAAAUGCGCAGAGAUCGGGAGGAACACCAAUGGCGAAAGCAGGUACCUGGACUAUUACUGACACUCAGCUGCGAAAGCUAGGGGAGCAAACAGG
rnacentral:rRNA from 1 species